rnacentral:rRNA from 1 species
AUUGAACGCUGGCGGCAUGCCUUACACAUGCAAGUCGAACGGCAGCACGGGGCAACCUGGUGGCGAGUGGCGAACGGGUGAGUAAUGUAUCGGAACGUACCAUUCAGUGGGGGAUAACGUAGCGAAAGUUACGCUAAUACCGCAUAUUCUGUGAGCAGGAAAGCAGGGGAUCGCAAGACCUUGCGCUGAUUGAGCGGCCGAUAUCAGAUUAGCUAGUUGGUGAGGUAAAAGCUCACCAAGGCGACGAUCUGUAGCGGGUCUGAGAGGAUGAUCCGCCACACUGGAACUGAGACACGGUCCAGACUCCUACGGGAGGCAGCAGUGGGGAAUUUUGGACAAUGGGGGCAACCCUGAUCCAGCCAUGCCGCGUGAGUGAAGAAGGCCUUCGGGUUGUAAAGCUCUUUCGGCCGGGAAGAAAUCGUAUGGGUUAAUACCCUGUGCGGAUGACGGUACCGGCAUAAGAAGCACCGGCUAACUACGGUG